AUUUAAAACCAUCUCUUGUAUAUGGAUAUUGCCUAUAAGUGUCACACUCCUGUGGAUGGACAUGGCAGAAGAAGUGGAUCAGAAGAAAACCACCCCACAAGAUCAGCAUCUGGUUGAUUGAAAAUCAGAGAUGGUGAGACCAGCGAGCAGUACGGGAUGGACAAAGCUGGUGUGGAGCAGAGCAUCAUACAAAGAGUAAAUGAAUUCAGGAUCAAACUGGACAUCCUGGAGCUGUGAGUGUGGAAGAGCACAUUAUCCUGCUGAAAGAGGCCACUGACAUUAUAGAAUACAUUUACCACGAAGAGCUGCAACAAUAUUUAGUCCCCAAAAGCUCUUCUGUGAAAUCAGGCCAGACUGGAUGUCCUUAUCUCCCUACAUGCAUAAAUAAUCCUCGCACACACACGAUUCUGUUGCCAGUUUACCGCUUGUCCUUCCCCCUGACCACUUUUUGUGGAACACCCCCAG